AUACGAAUAUCAAAACCAAAAUAAAAAGCAAGAUAGCAGAUUAAAAUGGCCUCUUCCAAGACUAUUUUUCUUAUUGCUAUUCUUUUUGCAAUUACUCUUCUUAAUUCUUCUCAGGUCUCAGCCCGACACCUUGUUGAGUCAAACUCAACUCAAAAUCCAGAGACCAUGGUGAAGUCACAUUUUCGCACUUUGCUUGCUCUGUAUCCACCGGAACUACCAUCUUACAAUCCUGUUGAGGGAAAACCUCCGGGCAAUAAAGGCUAGAAUUCACGAAAAUGAAAAGAAUGAAAGGAAAACAUAUGUAUUUGUAUGAUUUAUGUAGCACUAUAUAUGCAUCGGAUAAUGAAGCUUCUUUCUUGAUUA